AGCGAACGCUGGCGGCGUACUUAACACAUGCAAGUCGAACGGGGAUCAUCGGGUUAGCAAUAACUCGGUGGUCCUAGUGGCGCACGGGUGAGUAACACGUGGGUAACCUGCCCUGGAGACCGGGAUACCCCCUCGAAAGGGGGGCUAAUACCGGAUACGUUCCCUGGAUCGAGAGGUCUGGGGAGGAAAGGUGGCGAAAGCUGCCGCUCUUGGGAGGGGCUCGCGGCCUAUCAGCUAGUUGGCGGGGUAACGGCCCACCAAGGCUAUGACGGGUAGCUGGUCUGAGAGGACGACCAGCCACACGGGGACUGAGACACGGCCCCGACUCCUACGGGAGGCAGCAGUGGGGAAUUUUCCGCAAUGGGCGAAAGCCUGACGGAGUGACGCCGCGUGUGGGACGAAGGCC
rnacentral:rRNA from 1 species